CUGCUGCCUCCCGUAGGAGUCUGGUCCGUGUCUCAGUACCAGUGUGGGGGACCUUCCUCUCAGAACCCCUAGACAUCGUCGCUUUGGUGGGCCGUUACCCCGCCAACAAGCUAAUGUCACGCAUGCCCAUCCGUCUCCGGAGUCGCCUCCUUUGGCCGAAAGAAGAUGCCUCCCCUCGGCCACAUGCGGUAUUAGGCCGGAUUUCUCCGGGUUAUCCCGCUGAAACGGGCAGGUUGCAUACGCGUUACUCACCCGUGCGCCGGUCGCCGGG
rnacentral:rRNA from 1 species